UAAGGAAUAUUGGACAAUGGGCGCAAGCCUGAUCCAGCCAUCCCGCGUGCAGGAAGACGGCCCUACGGGUUGUAAACUGCUUUUGUACAGGAAGAAACCCUUGGAUUUAUCUGAGGCUGACGGUACUGUAAGAAUAAGCACCGGCUAACUCCGUGCCAGCAGCCGCGGUAAUACGGAGGGUGCAAGCGUUAUCCGGAAUCACUGGGUUUAAAGGGUGCGUAGGUGGAUAUAUAAGUCAGAGGUGAAAGACUUGAGCUUAACUGAAGAAUUGCCUUUGAUACUGUAUAUCUUGAAUUAUGUUGAGGUUAGCGGAAUGAGUCAUGUAGCGGUGAAAUGCAUAGAUAUGACUUAGAACACCAAUUGCGAAGGCAGCUAGCUAGGCAUAUAUUGACGCUGAGGCACGAAAGCAUGGGGAGCGAACAGGAUUAGAUACC
rnacentral:rRNA from 1 species